GAGGCUGAAGCAGGAGAAUCGCUUGAACCCAGGAGUUGAAGGUUGCGGUGAGCCAAGAUGGCGCCACUUCACUCCAGCCUGGGUGACAAGAGUGAAACUCCAUUUCAAAAAAUAAAAUAAAAUAAUAAAAUAAAAUAAUAUAGAAGGAAGCCAACAAUGGGGCCAGAAGGGUAGACUGAGAAUUAUAUUGAGAAAAAAUUUUCAGUCCAGAGAGAGAAACAAAACAAACAAAAAAACUGGUUUCUAAGUACAGACUUCAUUCCUUAUGAUUUUUUAGUGUCAGUUAUUCCAUUCUCAUCUGUGCAAUAAUUGUCACUUUAUUGUCCCUCAGCUUUAAAUUCACCCUGUAGUACCUGCACUGCAAUAAUGGAUUGAUCUCCAAACAUUUCUCUGUUACAGUGAACACAUGUUAAGUACUGUCAGUAGAGGAUGCAGGAGAGACAUUGAGAGAGGAUGAAGGAUUCUUCUAAUUCUGUACACCUGCCAAAGUCUCACCUCAGCUGCCUGCCUAGAAAGGCUGCUUCCCAUGACCCUCUCUACCUGAAGACCACAUGUUCUAAUUCUCAUGCAAAAGCCCCAUCCUCACUCCCUCUUUAUACAUUCACUUAUGAACUGUGGCUCUCUGCCACCUCAUUUCCUGCUUGCCCAGCGACCAUGGACCAGCUCUGAUCUGAGUGUCCUAGGAAACUUCUCUGGAGGUUGCAACUACACCUUCUCCAACAAGACCUGAACCCCACCUUGGAAUCCCCACUUCAACCUUGUCCUUCAUUGCAUCAUUUCCCUGAGCCCUAGGCUAACCAGCAGAGUUCUCUUUACAUCCUUAUAUUUACUUCCCUGCCAUAUUUAAUAAUUCUUUACAUUAAAAAGUUCCUGUUCAAAUUACUAUGAUUUCUUUUUCCUGAU
rnacentral:lncRNA from 1 species